AGUUCGAUCCUGGCUCAGAUUGAACGCUGGCGGGAUGCUUUACACAUGCAAGUCGAACGGCAGCACGGACUUCGGUCUGGUGGCGAGUGGCGAACGGGUGAGUAAUGUAUCGGAACGUGCCUAGUAGCGGGGGAUAACUACGCGAAAGCGUAGCUAAUACCGCAUACCGCUCCUGGGGGAAAGCGGGGACCUUCGGGCCUCGCACUAUUAGAGCGGCCGAUAUCGGAUUAGCUAGUUGGUGGGGUAACGGCUCACCAAGGCGACGAUCCGUAGCUGGUUUGAGAGGACGACCAGCCACACUGGACUGAGACACGGCCCAGACUCCUACGGAGGCAGCAGUGGGGAAUUUUGGACAAUGGGGGAAACCCUGAUCCAGCCAUCCCGCGUGUGCGAUGAAGGCCUUCGCUGUAAAGCACUUUUUGGCAGGAAAGAAACGGCACGGGAUAAUACCCCGUGCAACUGACGGUACCUGCAGAAUAAGCACCGGCUAACCACGUGCCAGCAGCCGCGGUAAUACGUAGGGUGCAAGCGUUAAUCGGAAUUACUGGGCGUAAAGCGUGCGCAGGCGGUUCGGAAAGAAAGAUGUGAAAUCCAGAGCUUAACUUUGGAACUGCAUUUUUAACUACCGAGCUAGAGUGUGUCAGAGGGAGGUGGAAUUCCGCGUGUAGCAGGAAAUGCGUAGAUAUGCGGAGGAACACCGAUGGCGAAGGCAGCCUCCUGGGAUAACACUGACGCUCAUGCACGAAAGCGUGGGGAGCAAACAGGAUUAGAUACCCUGGUAGUCCACGCCCUAAACGAUGUCAACUAGCUGUUGGGGCCUUCGGGCCUUGGUAGCGCAGCUAACGCGUGAAGUUGACCGCCUGGGGAGUACGGUCGCAAGAUUAAAACUCAAGCAAAGGAAUUGACGGGACCCGCACAAGCGGUGGAUGAUGUGGAUUAAUUCGAUGCAACGCGAAAACCUUACCUACCCUUGACAUGUCUGGAAUCCCGAAGAGAUUUGGGAGUGCUCGCAAGAGAACCGGAACACAGGUGCCGUAUGGCUGUCGUCAGCUCGUGUCGUGAGAUGUUGGGUUAAGUCCCGCAAAGCGCAACCUCUUGUCAUUAGUUGCUACGAAAGGCACCUAAUGAGACUGCCGGUGACAAACCCGGAGGAAGGUGGGGAUGACGUCAAGUCCUCAUGGCCCUUAUGGGUAGGGCUUCACACGUCAUACAAUGGUCGGGACAGAGGGUCGCCAACCCGCGAGGGGGAGCCAAUCCCAGAAACCCGAUCGUAGUCCGGAUCGCAGUCUGCAACUCGACUGCGUGAAGUCGGAAUCGCUAGUAAUCGCGAUCAGCAUGUCGCGGUGAAUACGCCGUUCCUGGUCUUGUACACACUGCCCGUCACACCAUGGGAGUGGGUUUUACCAGAAGUAGUUAGCCUAACCGUAAGGAGGGCGAUUACCACGGUAGGAUUCAUGACUGGGGUGAAGUCGUAACAAGGUAAUC
rnacentral:rRNA from 1 species